rnacentral:lncRNA from 1 species
AUGAUCUCUCCCAAAACCCAGUAUGAGUCAGCAAGACAACUAUCUGCUUCAUCAACCUUACGAAAUAAACUUUCCAAAACCAGGAGUAUGUCACACUUAUUACGACACUAUUUUGAAGCAGCUAGAUCUCUGAAACAACACAUUGCAGCGUUAUGGACUUGGAAAAACAGAAGAGGAAAGAUACAAAGUCAACAAAAUAAUUCCAGGGUCUAACAGCUUAGCUAUCCUACCAUCUGUUUAAAAGGACAAAACAUUAAAUAAAACAAAACUUGUGGUCCA